UACAGAGGUCUCAAGCGUUGUUCGGAUUCAUUGGGCGUAAAGGGUGCGUAGGCGGCGCGGUAAGUCGGGUGUGAAAUCUUGGAGCUUAACUCCGAAACUGCAUUCGAUACUGCCGUGCUUGAGGACUGGAGAGGAGACUGGAAUUUACGGUGUAGCGGUGAAAAUGCGUAGAUAUCGUAAGGAAGACCAGUGGCGAAAGGCGGGGUCUCUGGACAGUUC
rnacentral:rRNA from 1 species